rnacentral:lncRNA from 10 species
GAUGUAUGAACAAGAGUUCCACACACAGCACACAGCCUGAGAACUUCUGCCAUGGACUUCCGCACUGCUUAUAGGAUGUUGGUCUCAUGUUUGGGUUUUCAACCUCAAAUCCAAAGGAAACGUCACUUGAAGUAUGAUUUGUAGGGAGCAAUAUAAAGACUGAUUCAGAAGGAAAAACAAAGGUCAAAUGGUACCACUGUGAUAUGACUUCUACAAUUUAAAAAAUAAUUCUACCUUUUUAAAAGAGUAUUUUGGCAAUGGAGAAGAUGGACAUGAAAAGAUCUAUAAUUAGGCUGGGCGUGGUGGCUUACGCCUGUAAUCCCAGCACUUUGGGAGGCCGAGGAGGGUGGAUCACCUGAGAUCAGGAGUUGAAGACCAGCCUGACCAACAUGGAGAAAUCCUGUCUUUACUAAAAAUACAAAAAAUUAGCCAGGUGUAGUAGCGCGU